rnacentral:rRNA from 1 species
UACAGAGGUGGCGAGCGUUGUCCGGAUUUACUGGGUGUAAAGGGUGCUCAGGCGGUCUUGUAAGUCAGAGGUGAAAUCUCAAGGCUUAACCUUGAAACUGCCUUUGAUACUGCUGGGCUUGAGUACGGAAGAGGCGGAUGGAAUUCCUGGUGUAGCAGUGAAAUGCGUAGAGAUCAGGAGGAACACCGGUGGCGAAGGCGGUCCGCUGGUCCGUUACUAACGAUAAAGCACGAAAGAGUGGGGAGCAAACAGG